rnacentral:lncRNA from 10 species
CAAGAGUUCAAGACCAGCCAGGCCAACAUGGUGAAACCCCAUCUCUACUAAAAAUGUAAAAAUUAGGUGGGCGUGGUGGCACAUGCCUGUAAUGCCAGCUACUCAGGAGGCUGAGGCAGGAGAAUCGCUUGAACCUGGGAGGCGGAGGUUGCAGUGAGCCAAGAUCCUGCCCCUGCACUCCAGCCUGGGCCACAGAGCAAGACUCUUGUUGAUCCCACCAACACCCAUUCCCCCAAGUCUUGGAAAAAACAAAACAAACCAAAACAUUUUACAACUAACCACAAUAUGAGCAGUACCUGUGACUUAAUUACCAAUGGAAGCCACAGAUGUUUUCAUUCCCAUUAGAGUUAUUGCAGAAAUCUUGAAAUACUGUUUAUGUUUAUUAGUAUGUUGAAAUUAAAGGUUAUUGGGCUGGGCCUGGUGGCUCAUGCCUGUAAUCCCAGCACUUUGGAAGGCCAAGGCAGGCAGAUCACCUGAGGUCAGGGGUUCAAGACCAGCCUGGCCAACAUGGUGAAACCCCGUCUCUACUAAAAAUACAAAAAUUAGCUGGGCAUGGUGGCAUGCGCCUGUAGUUCCAGCAACUUGGGAGGCUGAGGCAGGAGAAUCGCUUGAACCCAGGAGGUGGAGGUUGCAGUGAGCCGAGAUUGUGCCAUUGCACUCCAUCUCAAAAAAACUUCAUCUCAAAAAAAAAGAAAGAAAGAAAGAAAGAAAGAAAUUACAGGUUAUUAGACUUGCUGCUACAUUACUUAAUGUAUUACUUUGGCUAAAGAAAUAUUUAUGGCCGGGCACGGUGGCUCAUGCCCGUAAUCCCAGCACUUUGGGAGGCCAAGGCAGGUGGAUCACCUGAGGUCAGGAGUUCGAGGCCAGCCUGGCCAACCUGGUGAAACCUAGUCUCUACUAAAAAUACAAAAAUUAGCUGGGUGUGGUGGCGGGCACCUGUAAUCCCAGCUACUCAGGAGGCUGAGAAUCGCUUGAACCCGGGAGGCAGAGGUUUCAGUGAGCCUAGAUCGCGCCAUUGCACUCCAGCCUGGGUGACAAGAGCAAAACUCUGCCUCAAAAAAAAAAAAAAAGAAACAUUUAUGUUACUAUAUCACAAAUGUGAUUAUCGGUUGAUAACUGUAUUUUAGUACAAUGAUUGUUUUUGCAAUCCUAUGUGUUCUAUUUUAUGUGUAUAUUUAAAAACAUUCUGCAAAGGGGUCCUUUAGACUUCACUGGAGUGCCAGAGAGAUUCAUGGUACAAAAAGGAGUUAAGACCUUUCAUAGUCAAGUCCUCCAAAACAAAGAUACUAUUCCUCCUCUUUGGGUGUGUAAAGAUGUGUGUGUGUGUGGUCCACACACUGGUCUAAUUUCCUAAAUCGUACGAUAGAACUCUGUGUGCCAGGUGACAAGAGUAGAGUCACCUACAGCCUCGGGAGGAGGAGCUGUGAAGGAAGUUUGCUCAGAGAAGGUACCAUCUGUGCCCUAAUGACACCUUCUAGUGUCUGCAACAUUUAUCUAACAAAUAUUUGGGUGCUCUUCUGUUGCCAUUAUCUUUAGGCAUUGGGCAAUCUGCAGUGAACAAAAAGGCUAGAAACCAUGUCCUUGAGGGGUCAAUUCCUAGUGGGGCUUGGUGGCUUUUCUAUUCCUCUAUGAGGUCUUCUCUGAUUAGUCAUGUUCUGUACUCAUGGAAACAUCCUGAGUUUGUAAAGCAGAAAUAUAAGUACAGGUGAUACAGUUGUGUCUUGUUUCUGUUUGUUUCACCUCCCCAACCAGACAUCAGGUUUACGUGUAAACGAUCUAUUUACCUCUGUUUUGCCAUUCCUGAAAAGAGAGAUCAUGUGCAUAAGGAGUUAAACAGAAUAAGAUAACAUUUUUGUAAAGUAGUUAGAAUAGUGCCUGGCACAUAAAAACAGUACAUGAGUAUUUUUAUUAUGAUUUUACCAAUCCUAAAUGCAAAUGACUUCUUAUUUAAAGAAAGAAAAGAGAAGAGAGGAAGGGACUCAACCAGGAGCCAGGGGUCCUUGUUCCCCCAGGUGACUGGAACUAGAGUGAAAUACCAAGUUGACCUGGGAGGGCCUAGACAUGCCGGAACUUACCAAAAGUCCGGUGGAGAUUCUCUGAAAGAGAAACAAAUGGAAAUGGAUUUAGUAGGGCACUCAAAAAGGAUCUUUUAUCCUGAGUCUUUGUUAUUUAAUUACUUAAAACUUGUUCUAGGCACGACACACCCACUGUAGAGAAAGGGAAACUGAGGGGAAAACAGGGUAUUGAGAGGGAGAGACGGUCCAAGAACGGGACCAUUUCCGUUAUGCCAAAAAACCAAAAGGCAAGAAUUGGGAGAAACGAUGACUGGAACUCACCUAUCUCUGCUCGAAGUUUUCCUAAAAUAGAAAAAGGCAACAUUUUAGUUCCUGCAUGUUCUGGCUCUCGGUGGGGACCCUCCCACACCCAGCGCCUGGGCCCCUUGUGCAGGCUAUUUCUCUGCAGCCUGGAAACAACCUCAGGAGAGUAGGAAGAGCACUGGAUUUAAAGCCAAUGGUUGCGGCUCUUUCUCUAGCUAUAGUCUAGAUACAAUAGCGAAUAAAGAAUGUGAGCAAUGCUCCAAGCCAGCACAAGCAUCCAAUACAUCCCAGCUGCUCUUCGCCCCUUUUCUUGGAUUCUCAGUUCACAGAGCUGCUCCAGCCCACUGCGUUGCCACUUUGUUUAUCUAAAGCCACUUCCCAUCUGAAUGAGGAGGGAGGAGCUGAACAUUUAGUGAGUAGCUAGCUACUUUGUGACUGGAUUUGUAGUAGGCACUUUGCAUGACUUUAAUCCUCCCUACAAUUUAGGACGAAGGAUGUUUUCUCUAUUUGACAGACAAGGCAACUGAAGCUUGGAGAAUCUAAGAAUUUUGCUAUAGAGUUCAGUACCUGAGAUGGAAUUCAAACCCAGGCUGCCUGACUCUAACAUUCAGAUUCUUUCUGCUCAGCCAUGAGGGCUGAAGGCCUUUUUUUGUGUGGAAGAAGUAAACAAGCAGGCAUCUGGGAUGAAUUCAAGUGAGAAGAACUUCUGAACCCAGAAGUCACUCACAAAUACAUGUUAAGUGGUGUAGCUCCAAGAAGCCAGCUCAUUUAAAGAAAGGAUCCUGAUCCACCCACCCUCUGCCCUGUACCUCUCAGUCUGUACUGCAGGCAGAGGAAGAUGAGGCCAACAGUGAUCUGCAGGAGGAGCACAGGCAGCACCGCGAGGAGAACCAGCACUCCAGGGCUCACCCAGUAGAAAGGAUCUGAAAGGCAGGACUGACAUUUGACAUUGUCCAGAGCUGAAUCCCCAACACUCAGCAUGGUGUCUGGGGCCCAAUAAAUCAGGUCAAAUAAAGAAGUGAAUAUCAUCAGGAUUCAAAGAAGGUGACACAGAAUUGGUCCCUGAGCUUAGCCCUGAAGGAAAAAUGGCUUUUUUUUCCAGGAAAUGCUAGUGAUUUAGAAUGACAAGUGGUUUAAAGUCAAGAUUGUGUAUUGGGUCAGGCUGGGGGAGUUUUAACGAGCAGCUAAGGGACUUACAUCUGAAGUCCCUCAAGGGACUUUUUAUUGACGACAAAGUCAAAGGUUCUCUUCAUAUUAUUGUGGUGUAU